rnacentral:sRNA from 1 species
AUUUGGACUUUGAUUGCUGUAAUUUCAUUCAAAUCAUCAUAUCUCCUUCAGUUCUGCAUACUAUGAUUAGCGCUUGAGGUAUGUGGUAGCCAGAGGCAGGUUCUAUAAGUGCACGCUACCAGCGGCGUGCAUGCAUAGAAAAAAUCGGGCACUCAGUUCAUCUCCAGACCAGCUCAAUUUCCUACCAUACCUCUAUGACUCAUUGGAAAAUCAUCUAAAGGUGAAAUAAUGGGGCAAAAAAGCGUCAUGACCGCAAAAUUGACAUCUGAAGAACAAACUCCCUAUAUUACCUUCCCUCAUUCCGCCCUUUUGUAUUUCCUCAUCCAAAUCCGCUUCAAAUCAGCCCAAAUUUCGAAGAUUCUCCCAUGGUACAUUGGCCCACAGUACGGAGCAAAAUAUUUCAAAAACGAAUCGUGUGACGUGCCAAAAUGGCACCCGACCACCAGCGCCCUAUAUCUUCAAUUCCCUUUCAGCUAUAUCGCUCACUAUCUGACAUACGCCGGUUCCGGGGGGUAGCUUUUGAACCAUGUGUGCCGGAGUUCUCACCUGUGACUGUUAUCUGUUUGAUUUACACUACUUUGGUAUACCUAGAAACUCUCCAAUGGUGUUGUUCUCAUAUCAUCCCGACAUCCACCAGCAACUUGGCGCAGUUAUGAGAUGCCCCAUACUGAACUAUUGUUCGUAAGCUACCUCAGCUGCUUUUACAGAAAGGGCUUUGGAUGAUCUUUUCCAGCAGCAGAAGAUAGAUACCUUUCCCAGUAAACUACUUGGCAAAGCUCAUACUAUGACACUAAUCUAUGGACGAGCAGGUGCUAAUUGUGGGGUUAUGGAUCGACUCCUAUAAUUGGAUAUCGGCUAAAUUCGCCUAAUUUGAGGUCUUGCAAAACCAUAAUGUAGCAUUGAGGCUGCCCAGCUUUUAACUUAAAGCCCCACGCCGGCACAUCUCUUCACUUUUACUCCACGCUCGCCAUAUCCCCUCCAGUUGUCACGUCCACCAACCUCAUUCCGACACAUUGAUCGACUUCAAUCGACUUCAUGAUUAUGGCUUGUUUCCUUCAUCUCAAUGAGCGAGAUGACAAAGUGCUUAGCCCCAGCGCUCAUAUACGCAUGGCAACCAGAAGGCAGUCCACGUAUCAGACAAGGAGGAGGAUGUCAACGAAAGCUGCAGAAGAGGAGAGACAAUCUAUAUGUAGACGGAUAAGUUGACGAUUGUAGAAGUCCGGAAGGACCAGAUAGCCCCUAGUGGGGAGUUGUCAUUAAACUAGAUGCAGGGACCCAACUGAUGUGAGAAAGUAGCGCUAAGCGGCGACAUGGUAGGUGUUAGUCGUUUGCUAUAUUUCGCUU